CCACCCCUCGUCUCCUCAACCGCCGCUGUAUCUCGCCAUCGCAUUGGCUAGCCUCUGAACCUUUCACCUUUUACCCGGCUUUCGCCGCCAAUCGCCUGGCUCCUUUCAUGCUGUGGGGAUGUGGAGCGUGUGAGCUGCGCAGGGUGUCAUUCUCGGAGCGGGCUUGCGUUGCGGGCGUUGGGCGGCCCCUGUUGGUUACCUAGGGUGAAACAAAAUUACAGGAUUGGAAACUCUGGAAAAGCUCAGCAUCAGCAUUUGAGAGCCAAAGCUUGCAAAUUAUGUGAUUAA
rnacentral:lncRNA from 1 species